rnacentral:rRNA from 1 species
AUUGAACGCUGGCGGCAUGCCUUACACAUGCAAGUCGAACGCGUGGCGCACGGGUGAGUAAUACAUCGGAACGUGUCCUCUCGUGGGGGAUACCUGAUCGAACGCUCAGCUAUUACCGCAUACGAUUGGAGCGGCCGCUGCCCGAUUAGCUAGUGGGUGAGGUAAAGGCUCACCAAGGCGACGAUCGGUAGCUGGUCUGAGAGGACGACCAGCCACACUGGUACUGAGACACGGCCCAGACUCCUACGGGAGGCAGCAGUGGGGAAUGUUGGACAAUGGGGGCAACCCUGAUCCAGCCAUGCCGCGUGCAGGAUGAAGGUCUUCGGAUUGUAAACUGCUGUUAUCAGGGAAGCGGUACCUGAAGAAUAAGCACCGGCUAACUACGUGCCAGCAGCCGCGGUAAUUC